rnacentral:lncRNA from 1 species
UGUAAAGCAAAAAUACAACAGGACUUCAUAACCAUUCAAUAAUUGAGAGGAAAAGCCUAACCUCGUGUCUUUAAAGCCAGGAGUCCUCUUUGAUCUUGAACUUUUCGGCUAUAUCUGGUCUGAUAUUUUGCUUCUACAUUGACUUGGUAUUCUUGGGCUUCUGACCUUUUAUUCUUCUCUCAUCCACAGUCUCAAACUCAUAUCUUGGACCUGGUACUUAAUGUUACUCCUCUGAUGUUGAGUUUAGUUUCUCAUCUUUAGUUUCCAUUUGCCCUCUCUCCUCAGACAAGGGCUAACCACUCCCAUUAUAAACCCAGUCCCAUCAAGCUUGGUUGCUUUGGCUCUGAAUAAAUAAAUGUAAUCAGAGCAACUAUUUAUUUCAUUUCUUGGAAAUAAGCACUUUAAUUUGUUUCUCCUCAGUGUGAUAAAUUGUACCCUCAUUCAGGCACUGUGGGAAGCACACUUCUAAGAUGGCACCUAACAAUCCUUGCCCUCCUGCAUUCAUACCCCUCUCUGUGAGUGUGGGCUGAACCUAUGACCUGCUUCUAAUGAAUUACAUAGGACAAACAUGAUGGGAUGCCGCUUCUGAGAUUAGGUUACAAAAGGUUAUAACUUCUGUCUUGUUACUUUUUUCCUUGCUUUGAUGAGUGAACUGCCAUGUUGGAGAGGCCCAUGUGACACAGAGGUUGUAGUGGCCCUUGACCAAAACCAGCUGGGAGCAGAGGUCUUUAGACUAACAGCUCUGAAGGAACUGAAUCCUGUUAACAGCCAAUGAGUAAGCUUGGAAAUAAUCCUGCAUGAGUGAGAUCUUGAUUGCAGCCCUGUGAGAGAGACCGAAGCAGGGAACCCAGAAGGCCUCUGAUUUAGUCCACUGGAAUGAUUAGACUGGAGGAACUAAGUAAAAAUGACUUGGAUCAGAAAAUACUGGAGACAGAGAAACCAGUUAAAGCCUAUUGAUGUGCUGGUGAUUUGAGAUAUAGAGCAUCUCUGUGAAAUAAAACGUACUGAAAAACUUCAGCCCUCAGUGCUUCUCCCCAUGUUACAAGAUACUGGCAUCAGAAAAGACCACAAAAUGAAUACCAGUCUUUACUACUUCCUUGCUUUCCAAAUCCCUACUGGGAAGUAAGAUUUAGCAGUGUGAGAGUAAUUAAGCAGAAUACCUCCUUCCUCCAGAUACCAACACAGAUGCAUAAGAAGACAUAGCUGAAUUUUUGAGCAACAGAUGUUAACUUACAAAGGACAAGAUAAGCUGUACUGUGUUCUUUGCAACAGAAGUCAAAUAUCCCAACAUGAGAAGAGCCUCUGUGCAUAUAGGCAAAGAUAACCAACUGUAGCUAAAGGCUCCCGUGUACUUUCAGUACUCAAAAUAGUCAUGCAUAUGGGGAUUCUGUCAGUCAACACCAUAUCUGCUGUUGAUGUUGGUAACAGUGACCAUCAGAAACUUCAGGAAGUGAAAGAAGAUCUCCCAUAGAAAAGGAAACCAUGCAGAACACAGAGAAGAAUCCAAAAAGGACAUGUCUGUUGGCAAACAACUUGGGAGAGAACCAGAAGUGAACCCAGUUGCUUGUGUCAUUAUUUUGCCUUAGCCUCCAAGAGCCUGAACAGCCCAAGGAGGACAAGACAGUCUUGACCUAAGGGAAAGAUAUGCUUUAUUUACAAGAAAACAUUA